GCAUAGCCGAGUUGAGAGACUGAUCGGCCACAAUGGAACUGAGACACGGUCCAUACUCCUACGGGAGGCAGCAGUAGGGAAUCUUCCACAAUGGGCGCAAGCCUGAUGGAGCAACACCGCGUGAGUGAAGAAGGGUUUCGGCUCGUAAAACUCUGUUGUUGAAGAAGAACGUGCGUGAGAGUAACUGUUCAUGCAGUGACGGUAUUCAACCAGAAAGUCACGGCUAACUACGUGCCAGCAGCCGCGGUAAUACGUAGGUGGCAAGCGUUAUCCGGAUUUAUUGGGCGUAAAGCGAGCGCAGGCGGUUGCUUAGGUCUGAUGUGAAAGCCUUCGGCUUAACCGAAGAAGUGCAUCGGAAACCGGGCGACUUGAGUGCAGAAGAGGACAGUGGAACUCCAUGUGUAGCGGUGGAAUGCGUAGAUAUAUGGAAGAACACCAGUGGCGAAGGCGGCUGUCUGGUCUGCAACUGACGCUGAGGCUCGAAAGCAUGGGUAGCGAACAGGAUUAGAUACCCUGGUAGUCCAUGCCGUAAACGAUGAGUGCUAGGUGUUGGAGGGUUUCCGCCCUUCAGUGCCGCAGCUAACGCAUUAAGCACUCCGCCUGGGGAGUACGACCGCAAGGUUGAAACUCAAAGGAAUUGACGGGGGCCCGCACAAGCGGUGGAGCAUGUGGUUUAAUUCGAAGCUACGCGAAGAACCUUACCAGGUCUUGACAUCUUGCGCUAACCUAAGAGAUUAGGCGUUCCCUUCGGGGACGCAAUGACAGGUGGUGCAUGGUCGUCGUCAGCUCGUGUCGUGAGAUGUUGGGUUAAGUCCCGCAACGAGCGCAACCCUUGUUACUAGUUGCCAGCAUUCAGUUGGGCACUCUAGUGAGACUGCCGGUGACAAACCGGAGGAAGGUGGGGACGACGUCAGAUCAUCAUGCCCCUUAUGACCUGGGCUACACACGUGCUACAAUGGCCGGUACAACGAGCAGCUAACCCGCGAGGGUGUGCAAAUCUCUUAAAGCCGGUCUCAGUUCGGACUGCAGUCUGCAACUCGACUGCACGAAGUCGGAAUCGCUAGUAAUCGCGGAUCAGCAUGCCGCGGUGAAUACGUUCCCGGGCCUUGUACACACCGCCCGUCACACCAUGGAAGUUUGCAAUGCCCAAAGUCAGUGGCCUAACCAUUUUGGA
rnacentral:rRNA from 1 species